UGGAGAGUUUGAUCCUGGCUCAGGACGAACGCUGGCGGCGUGCUUAACACAUGCAAGUCGAACGGAAAGGCCCCUUCGGGGGUACUCGAGUGGCGAACGGGUGAGUAACACGUGGGUAAUCUGCCCUGCACUUCGGGAUAAGCCUGGGAAACUGGGUCUAAUACCGGAUAGGACCAUUUAGCGCAUGCUUUAUGGUGGAAAGCUUUUGCGGUGUGGGAUGGGCCCGCGGCCUAUCAGCUUGUUGGUGGGGUGACGGCCUACCAAGGCGACGACGGGUAGCCGGCCUGAGAGGGUGUCCGGCCACACUGGGACUGAGAUACGGCCCAGACUCCUACGGGAGGCAGCAGUGGGGAAUAUUGCACAAUGGGCGCAAGCCUGAUGCAGCGACGCCGCGUGGGGGAUGACGGCCUUCGGGUUGUAAACCUCUUUCAGCAGGGACGAAGCGCAAGUGACGGUACCUGCAGAAGAAGCACCGGCCAACUACGUGCCAGCAGCCGCGGUA
rnacentral:rRNA from 2 species